rnacentral:tRNA from 1 species
GGGGACUUAGCUCAGCGGUAGAGCGCUUGCCUAGGAAGCACAAGGCCCUGGGUUCAGUCCCCAGCUCCG